GACGAACGCUGGCGGCGUGCCUAAUACAUGCAAGUAGAACGCUGAAGGAGGAGCUUGCUUCUCCGGAUGAGUUGCGAACGGGUGAGUAACGCGUAGGUAACCUGCCUGGUAGCUGGGGAUAACUAUUGGAAACGAUAGCUAAUACCGCAUAAGAGUAGAUGUUGCAUGACAUUUGCUUAAAAGGUGCAAUUGCAUCACUACCAGAUGGACCUGCGUUGUAUUAGCUAGUUGGUGGGGUAACGGCUCACCAAGGCGACGAUACAUAGCCGACCUGAGAGGGUGAUCGGCCACACUGGGACUGAGACACGGCCCAGACUCCUACGGGAGGCAGCAGUAGGGAAUCUUCGGCAAUGGACGGAAGUCUGACCGAGCAACGCCGCGUGAGUGAAGAAGGUUUUCGGAUCGUAAAGCUCUGUUGUAAGAGAAGAACGAGUGUGAGAGUGGAAAGUUCACACUGUGACGGUAUCUUACCAGAAAGGGACGGCUAACUACGUGCCAGCAGCCGCGGUAAUACGUAGGUCCCGAGCGUUGUCCGGAUUUAUUGGGCGUAAAGCGAGCGCAGGCGGUUAGAUAAGUCUGAAGUUAAAGGCUGUGGCUUAACCAUAGUACGCUUUGGAAACUGUUUAACUUGAGUGCAAGAGGGGAGAGUGGAAUUCCAUGUGUAGCGGUGAAAUGCGUAGAUAUAUGGAGGAACACCGGUGGCGAAAGCGGCUCUCUGGCU
rnacentral:rRNA from 1 species